CUGAGAGUUUAAUGCCCCUUAACAUGACAAAUGUUGUGUGUGGUUUUUAUUUGCAAUACUUAAAAUCUUUUACAAGCAACUGCUUUCCUUUGUGAGCUGAAUUUCUCUGGCAUUGCAACGACACUCACAAAGCAGCUCUGCCCUCAAACGUUUCGCUCAAAGUGGGAAUUUUAAAUAAUGUAAUAAUGUGUCGCUUUUAUCCAGGCGGUAGAUUGCAUGGUAAUAUUGCUUACCCGCUUAAAAACGGAGAGAUUGAUGCUAAUAAAUGAACAUUAGCUCUGUAAUGGUGACAGAAAUGAAGAGGCCAACACUAAUAAAUAAACAUGAGCUUUUCUAGCCAUGAUAAAAUCUUUGUGAUGGUACACAGUCUUCAUGUUCAAAACCCUCCUCUCACAUUCUCUUUCUGCACAUGUGGAAAAAUCCUCUGUAGCCGUGAGUCUCUGUGAGGCGAUGUAAUAAAACUGCUCCAGAAACAGGAACAGCCCAAAGGAUGUGUGUAAAGCUUUAGAUCCCAAAUGAGUUAGGCCAAUAACGGUGUUAUUUCAAUAUGUGGAUUGAUUUUUCUGACCCAAAAAGAAGCCCCUCAAAUGCUUAUAUUUCAUCAAAGCAACACACCUUUUUUUAUAGUACAUGAACUUCGAGAACAAGAAAAUAAUAACUAGAAAAGCACUCGGAGAGCGCAGACCUCCGCCAAGCAGCUCAUGUCCCCCUUAUAUUGUGAUCCACACCAAAACUUUUACUGUUACGUGUCUUUUAUUAAUGUUUAUUAGUGUUUAAACUGGUAUGUUCACUGUUCAUAAUGUUCCUGAAACAACAAAGCUCAUAUUAGAUACAUAAAUGCAUGAUUUAUUAUGCAAUAUAUGUAAGUGUACACUUCCUUGUAUCUUCAUUAGUGAUCUUUCAGCAUUGAAAAUUCCAACGACACCCUUAUUUUUGUGUGUUCUGGAUCACAGUAUCAGGAUCAACCUUUGACACCUCAUAAAACUCAUUGAGAUCCUUUUGUGUAAUUUUCUACUAAAGACUCUGGUCAUUUUUAUAGAGUUAAAUGCAAAAAUUCCCAAAUUUGUCCUAUCCCACAAUGAUAAAGAAUCCUUCAAAAAGUUCCUGGAUCCAGAAGGCGAUCCGGAUCACCACCAAAAUGUAAUGGGAACUUCCCGGGGCUGAGACGCACCUCUGGUGAAAAUUUCAGGUCCAUUCAUCUUUAACUUUCUCGGUAAAGUUGCUAACAGACAAACAAAUAAACAAACAAAAAACCAACACUACCAAAAACAUAACCUCCUUGGCGGAGGUAAUGAAUUAGCUGUUAGGUCUGUGGAAACACAGCUCAUGUGACUUUAAGGUCCCCUCUUUAAAAUCUGUAAGAGGUAAAAACAUGAAGCAGCAUCAUAACAGACUUAGUCAGUAAAAAGUGUUUUUUUCUUGAUACUUGUUUCUCACUCUGAGGCAGAGACCAUAUUUUUAAUGUUAUUUUCAGGUGAUUGUGAGUUACUGACACGUUCGUAUGAAUAUGAAACUUUUUCUGCCAUUAGGUCCCUGAUCUCAAUCACUCGACCUCUUGACUGAAGUAAAUCGACUGUUUUUACAGUUUAAGAACUCAUUAAACUGAAAGAGAAGUGCGAUUUGCAUGCUUGUAAAACCCACUAAUCCUUGAACCACUACCUUUAGAAAUUUUCCACAGUCAGCUAACAAAGACUUUUUUUUUUCUACCAUUUGUCAUGGAUUAAGUGUUUCAAGUGAUUUUGAAGCUUUCAGGGAUUGACAUCCAUUUCUGCAGUUUAAAGAAAUGUUGAGUGCGUGGCAGCUAUUAAAUGUAGCUGUGGCAAGAAAUAAUUUCCACUGCAGAAGAAAAGCUGUUAAAACAUUUACAAGUUUGUGACCUCAGAAAAAAACAAGGAAAGGUGAGCAACGAUUUCUUAGUUAAAAUAAAGUGGAAACAUGAUGUAAAGACAUCGGUAACUUCAGCGGGAAAUGUUGUACAUGGCAUGGAACACAAUAUCAGACCCUCUGAUAAUGUCAAGGCGUCGUAGUUAUGACCCUUGUUGCAUUAAUAUGUGAUGAAACUCACAUUCCUCGCUGGAGAGGCUCCUUAUCUGGUCCCAGGACACAGGAUCAUAUAAAUCUUUCCAGACUUGUUUGUACUUUCAGGUCACGCAAAAGACCCCAACAGAUAUUGACGAAAACCUCUGGCUUUUCUCGAUCGGUCAGUUCGAAGAACAGAGACAGAGUUGUUUAUUACCUUUCAGGAACUGACUCUGUUACCAUUCAUCUGCAUGGACAUCUAUGUCUCAACCAUACCCAGGUCUUCCAUUAGAGAUUUACUGUCUUGAGUGUGUGAACAAUGAAAAGUCUGAGGAGAUGCACACUGACCUCCAGACCUCUGUCAUAAAAUCCUGCUCAACCAUAUGCUGCUAAAAACUGCUUUCCUUUGGUGAAUAAAAAAACGGACUGAUAGUGACGUCUGACAUACUGAACAAAUGUAUAUUAUUCAUUAUGUUGGAAUGAGUAUAAUAAAGAAGUGUGUCCUGUUUUUCUGGUUUAAAAGCGAAGA